CACACACACAUGCGUGUGCACACCAAUCAGUACACUGGGAAGAGGAGAGCCUCAGACUGAGUGGCUUCUCAAUGGGAGAGAAGAGCUGAGAGGAGAGAGGGACGGAGAGAGAGAGCGCACGAGAGAGAGAGAGAGAGAAGUGUCGUCGCAUGUGCAGGACCAAAAAGUGAAGAGGCAAAUUAGCUUGUUAUCCCCCAAAGAAGCUUCACCUUCAGAGGGAAGCGUGAGGAGGCUGGGAAACAGGAGGAAUACGUUGCUUCUCUGGUGAUUUAAAGGUGGCAUGACAAGCUGCUCGUCCCUCAAACCCCAGCUAGUUUCUGACAGCGUUUCACAGCUGUGACGGGAGUUUCUGCUGUCGGAUGCCUGACUGUGUUCGGUGGAUUGCAGCCAGGAGGACUUACAACAGAAGAGGGGAUCAAGGGUAGGAGCAGGAACAAAAGUCUCCUCAUCCCUCCCCCCCUCCUCACCCUCCUCUGAUCCGCAGAUCCGAGCAGGAACUUUUGCUGGGAAGCUCUUUCCCGUGAGCAUGGAUGGAUUUAUGAUUAUGUGAUGAGGAUAUUGGAUGGACAUUGACGGCACGUUUCUUUAACGUUCUCCUGACUGUGUCUCAGAGCCGGUGCUCCUGCCAUGUCCUGGCUCCUGUGUCUGUGGAUAAGUGUUAGCUGCUUACUGCUCUGCCACGCCACGUUGUACGAGACCAUCCAGCAGCAUCAUGUGACCCGCCCGGGCCGCAACGCCAUACAGAUACUGGAGGGAGGAACAUGUGAGGUCAUCGCAGCGCACCGAUGUUGCAACAAGAACCGCAUUGAAGAACGCUCCCAGACGGUCAAGUGCUCGUGUUUACCGGGAAAAGUGGCCGGCACAACAAGGAACAAACCCUCUUGUGUAGACGCCUCCAUCGUGAUUGGGAAGUGGUGGUGUGAAAUGGAGCCGUGUCUGGAAGGAGAGGAGUGCAAGACACUACCAGACAACUCCGGCUGGAUGUGUUCCUCUGGGAACAAGAUCAAGACCACGAGGAACACCCAGCCAUAUUCAACUUUUUAGCUCCGACGGCCACCAAAACUGGCUCAACAGAAGCUCAGCAGCGUCCUUCUCCUCAUCAAGAUUCAUCCCCGAACCUAACAAAGAGCUCCUUCACAAGCAGUGGAUGUGGAUUUUCCCGGAACGUGACUGUUCUUCAGUUAGAAUGGACGAAACCAUUAAUUCAAUGGGGUGUUUGGCUGGAUUACCUGUGACUGAACAAUAAAGAAUGACAUUCCUGGGGAUAAAGACGAGAUUUGCUCAUUUGGUGCCAAGGAAUAUGAAAAAAAAUCUGACUAAUCUGUGUUUUUGGUCAGUGAACCCAACGCUGCAGACUCCAGUGGCUGUGCCCAAUUCUUUCGAUUUUCUGCAUUUCUCCUUACCACCUUCCUCUGAUUCUGGGCUCAUACAGCUAAGGGGAGCCGUUUUGUUGGAUUUCAAAUUAUAUUUGAAGACUUUACCUCCCUAGGUAAACUGGACAAUCCUGAUGUAAGCUGUGAAACGACUGUAUGAAGGAUCAUGAUGGAUAAGCGUUGCUGUGUGAAAUUGAGGGGGAAAUCAAUAGGAGAUUUUUUCCCAUCCCUCCAUCAGUUUGUCGUUUUGCCUUCCAUGCUGGCUUUGGUAAUAGACUGGGAGCUUGUGAAGCCCUGCUAUGUCCCUCCACUUCUAAGUUUACUGCUCACCGCUAUAAUUGUCCACAUGCUGUUCGUUUUGGAAUUCCUCCGGGUCAAUGGUCACCUCACUGUCUACACCUACUUGGGGCAGAUAUCUUUUUAUUUGUCGGCAUGCUCAAUGUAUUUUGUGGGAGCUUUGUAUUGAAAGUAACUGUAUAUAUUUAUGUAUAUAUACAUAUAGAUACAUAUUAAAAUACAUCAUAUGAAGAUCUAACAUGCCCUUAAACCUGUUUAGUGGGUUUGAAUUGAGACUGUAUUCAUGGAUUUGGAUACUUGAACAAGUACAAUUAAUCCCUGAUUUAAGGCUGUCUUUGGAAAUACAUGUAAUGGACAUCCUGCAUUUUUUGCUUAAAAUAAGAAUUUGUUCCGAAAAACAAACGAAAAAUUCACUAAACAGUUGCAACACUUUUGCACAUGAUUUGCACACUUUUUGACGCUUGAAUAGUCUUAAGCUAUAAGUAUUUCAGUCACUGUCAUUCAUUUUCAGUACAAAUUAUUCAGAAGACUCUAUUUACCCAGUGAAAUUAAUGUUGUGUUACUACUGCCAGCAAAAAUCAGAUGAUAAAUGACUUUAUGUACAUUUUAAUGAUCAAUACUUCAAUGCAUAAUAAUAAAAUAAUACAAUAAUAGAGAAGAGCUGCUGCGCAGAGUAGUUGACCACACAGUGGUGCUGUACAGUCCCAGUAAAGUGCAUUGAAUUAUAAUAGUCCACUGUAUCCUCCACAAUGUACUAUAGCACACACAAGCAACCAGCAAGUUCAGAAAUUGCACCAUACAACGAUUUUGUUGGGGAUUUUGUUCUGUUUUCUGACUUAUAAAAUACUCUAGUGAAUCAGGCACUUAAACACAGCAAACAGUGCAAAUAAUUGCCUCUUUGGCAGACGCAACUCAUACUUAGUGAAUUUUCCAAAAUAUAUUAGUGUAAUAAAGACAAGCCCAACAAAAGAAGCCACAGUCACCUAUUGGAAUUAGAUUACCAUUGAUAAUUGCCUGUUGGCAGUUCUAACUCAGUUAAGUUCAGUCCAUGAUCCAGUUUGUCCUGUGCUGUUCUGAGAAUAGAUAAGCUUUAACAUACCUGUGUAGGUUUCAUAAAUACAACAAAAUAGAAGACAUUCAGCUUGUUAAAGGCUAUAAUCAUGAUAACUUCAAACUGUCAAUGGACGUAGACCUGAUUCAGUUCAGAAAAAUGAAGCCCUAGUUUAGUAGAGUGAGUUAUAGGGUAGAUGAGAUGUUGUUCUCAAAAGAUAAAACAUAUUUAUAAUGCUUGUUGGCAGCUUAUAAUUUACAUUUGCCAUUCCACAUUGAUUAUGAGGGAUAUUGUCAUUUAGAAUGUUGCAUUAAAAUGUUUUAGUUUUCUGUGUAAUCUGUUUUCAAAGGUGUAAAAGGUCAAAGAAAAGAUGGGCUUCAUUUCUCUUUACUGGCAUCAGUAGACAUGCAAUUACAGUAGCGCUGAUUGAUAAACAUGCAGCCUUACCAGAAACAAAUCAAUAUUAAAAUGGUUUUCUAUA